CGGACGGGUGAGUAAUGUUUGGGAAACUGCCUGAUGGAGGGGGAUAACUACUGGAAACGGUAGCUAAUACCGCAUAACGUCGCAAGACCAAAGAGGGGGACCUUCGGGCCUCUUGCCAUCGGAUGUGCCCAGAUGGGAUUAGCUAGUAGGUGGGGUAACGGCUCACCUAGCGACGAUCCCUAGCUGGUCUGAGAGGAUGACCAGCCACACUGGAACUGAGACACGGUCCAG
rnacentral:rRNA from 1 species